rnacentral:rRNA from 1 species
CCUACGGGAGGCAGCAGUAGGGAAUAUUGCUCAAUGGGGGAAACCCUGAAGCAGCAACGCCGCGUGGAGGAUGAAGGUUUUCGGAUUGUAAAAUCCUUUUGUUAGAGAAGAUAAUGACGGUAUCUAACGAAUAAGCACCGGCUAACUCCGUGCCAGCAGCCGCGGUAAUACGGAGGGUGCAAGCGUUACCCGGAAUCACUGGGCGUAAAGGGCGCGUAGGCGGGAGAGCAAGUCAGAUGUGAAAUCCUAUGGCUUAACCAUAGAACUGCAUUUGAAACUGUUAUUCUAGAGUAUGGGAGAGGUAGGCGGAAUUCUUGGUGUAGGGGUAAAAUCCGUAGAGAUCAAGAGGAACACUCAUUGCGAAGGCGACCUGCUAGAACAUAACUGACGCUGAGGCGCGAAAGCGUGGGGAGCAAACAGGAUUAGAUACCCGAGUAGUC